CCUACGGGUGGCAGCAGUGGUGGAUAUUGCACAAUGGGGGGAACCCUGAUGCAGCGACGCCGCGUGUGGGAAGACGGUCCUCUGAAUUUUACACCACUGUCACCAGGGACGAAAAUGACGGUACCUGGGGAGGAAGCUCCGGCUAACUACGUGCCAGCAGCCGCGGUAAUACGUAGGGAGCGAGCGUUUUCCGGAAUUACUGGGUGUAAAGGGAGCGUAGGCGGGGAUGCAAGUUGGGUGUCAAAACUACCGGCUCAACUGGUAGUCGCACUCAAAACUGCAGCUCUUGAGUGAAGUAGAGGCAGGCGGAAUUCCUAGUGUAGCGGUGAAAUGCGUAGAUAUUAGGAGGAACACCAGUGGCGAAGGCGGCCUGCUGGGCUUUUACUGACGCUGAGGCUCGAAAGUGUGGGGAGCAAACAGGAUUAGAUACCCGUGUAGUC
rnacentral:rRNA from 1 species